UCCCCAUGAUGAGGACAGGCGGCGAUGUACUCUUGCAGAUGCUCCCAAGUUUCUAGUAUGGAUUCAUCCUUCGUCUGCUGGAAGUUGGAGAUCCUCCCGCGAAGGGC
rnacentral:snoRNA from 1 species